rnacentral:ncRNA from 1 species
GUAUUGGCACUCAUUUAGUGAGUUUAAAAGGGAAUUCAGUGAAAAGCUGGAGCUGUCCCCGCAACUGUAUAGCUGACAGUUUGAACAAUCCACUGUUUUAAAACGGGAAGGGUUCAAAUUUGGAUGAAGCUAAGCCAGGAGACCUACCAAUCUAA